CUCAGUACUUAACGGACAGUUGCAGUGUGAAGGUCGGUCUCCGUCCAGCUGCGUGGUUCCUGGUGGUGUACGUAGAAUUCUCAAAUCCCUGACUUAAAAAGAAUUUUACUGUAAACUUCAAAAUUGGACUUCAACACAUCUGAGACCGUAAUUGAAUUGACACGAUGCAGGAGAACAUGAUCAAAACCAUUCUGCUCGCCACCAACCUCUGCCUGUGGGCAUCUGGAUGGGCUGUGCUGGCCGUGGGCGUGCAUCUGAUGUCUGGAGAGAACGGACGCCAUUAUGCCAUCAUGUUGCUCGGGAAGACACAUCCAGGGACGGACGACGUGCCGCCUCCGUUUGCCGAACUCGAGGGGGGUCGGGGAGGAGGAUCAACACUCGGGGACUACAACGCGGCUUCGGCAGAACCUCCGGGUCAUACCAAGACGCCCCUCAGCAGACCUACUCCCAGGAACUCGUCGUCUCCCGCUGACCUCAGCUUCGAAGAGAUGGCCGACGCAACCGAAUCCAUGGACGUCAAACUAGAGGCUACGCUCCUGGUUUUGGGGUCCGUGGUCGUCAUGGCGGGUCUCGUGGGAUGCAUAGCUGCCUCGCAGAACGACAGGACUCUGCUGCUAGCGUACUGCUUACUGCUGAUAGUCGUUGGCCUAGGGGACGGAGGAGCAGGAAUAUGGUGCUUCUGCAGUGCGUCCCACAACCUGGGCGAGGUCUCCAUCCCGUCAGGAACUCCUCUUGCCGUUUCUUCGUCCUCGCCCUUGUCGUCAGCAAGUGUGGACGACCCUUUGCAGAGGUUUCACCAGUGGUACGGCUCUGCCGACCACAUCACCUACACAGAAGCCCUCAACUCAGUUCAGGAGCAGAGCUGAAUGAUCUCAUAGGUCCCAGUGCUUGGUCUUUGGCCUAAAUUCUAUAUUCCAUUCCAUUCAAUAUGCUCUCUCACCAAAAGGAAUCCAGUUCAUGUAUGAAGUAAUGAAGACAGUGCUCAGGACUUUAUAUUUACUCCACUGCAGUAGUACCUUCUUUCUUCAGUUUUGCUGUCAACCGCUCCAACGCCCUCUUUUCGCUGUCAUAGGCGCUGAAGUGCCCUAGUGCAUGACUUUAUAGCCUGAUUUUCAUAUAUCAAACUCAACUCAGUUUCUCUGAAAAGGUCACAAUGUUGGCAUAACGAAACACCAGUUUAAUUUGCAAAUUUGAGUGCUUUGUUCAAAUUGCCCAGUAACUCCAAAUAUUGACGUAUGAAUAGAGGAAAGUAUGGAUAAGAACAGAUAGCGACGAAUUAUAAAUAUAACUUGUAAUGGAAUUCAAUUAUAAACGUCCAAAGAAUUUUUAUAAUUUAUACCAAUGUCACUAGAGAAAAGAGAAAAAUAUUUCUCAGCCUCUGUCAAAGUAAUGAGGAUUAUAUGAGUCUGUGAUUUCUUGACUCCCGUGUUGCCAUGACGACAUCUCCCAAAUGGCCAACGCUGUUUGUAUUUUCCUUCCAGCUCGCGUGUUGUGGGAUGACAGGACCUAAUGAUUACGUCACGAGCUACUGGCAUCAUGUUUACUCCCCAGGGAAGACCGUACUUCCACCGUCAUGCUGUUUUCGGAAUCUGUCCUCCUCCGCAGCUUCUUCCUUCGCAGACGUCCAAUG